GGGGGAAGGCCGGAUCCUGGGCUGUGUCCCGGCGCCCUGUGCUCCUGGGCCUGCACUAUUGGAUUUGCGCUCCCGCCCCGCAGCCCCCU
rnacentral:pre_miRNA from 1 species